rnacentral:rRNA from 1 species
CAGUCGCCACGGUAAUACGAGGGGCGCAAGCGUUGUUCGGAAUUAUUGGGCGUAAAGGGUGCGUAGGCGGUUUGGCAAGUUUGGUGUGAAAUCUUCGGGCUCAACUCGAAGUCUGCAUCGAAAACUGCCGGGCUUGAGUAUGGGAGAGGUGAGUGGAAUUCCUGGUGUAGCGGUGGAAUGCGCAGAUAUCAGGAGGAACACCUAUGGCGAAGGCAGCUCGCUGGAACGUUACUAACGCUGAGACGCGAAAGCGUGGGGAGCAAACAGGAUUAGAUACCCGUGUAGUCCCUGUCUCUUAUAA